GAUACUGCCGUACAUGAACUGGGGG
rnacentral:piRNA from 1 species